AGCUUUGCAUAGUGGCAGUAUCAUAGCCAAUGAGGUUUAUCUGAGACGCAAUUACCAGUAAAUGAAAAUUUUUCCCAAUACCCCGCCGUGAUGACUUGCAAUACAGUCUCUCAUUGGCAGUUUUUUGAGUGUCUCUAGGGAG
ensembl:snRNA U4 U4 spliceosomal RNA